GAUUAACGCUAGCGGCAGGCCUAAUACAUGCAAGUCGAACGGGAUUCAAAGUAGCAAUAUUUUGAUGAGAGUGGCGCACGGGUGAGUAACACGUAUGCAAUUUACCUUUAACUGGGGGAGUAGCCCUCCGAAAGGAGGAUUAAUACCGCAUAAUAUAUUGAAAUGGCAUCAUUUUAAUUAUUAAACCUACGGGGGUUAAAGAUGAGCAUGCAUCCGAUUAGCUAGUUGGUGUGGUAACGGCUCACCAAGGCAACGAUCGGUAGGGGGUCUGAGAGGAUGAUCCCCCACACUGGUACUGAGACACGGACCAGACUCCUACGGGAGGCAGCAGUAAGGAAUAUUGGACAAUGGAGGCAACUCUGAUCCAGCCAUGCCGCGUGAAGGAUUAAGGCCCUAUGGGUUGUAAACUUCUUUUAGACGGGACAAAACCCCUUUACGUGUAAAGGGUUGAUGGUACUGUCAGAAUAAGCAUCGGCUAACUUCGUGCCAGCAGCCGGGAAUGUAUCGUACG
rnacentral:rRNA from 1 species